rnacentral:rRNA from 1 species
UCACGCUAUCUCGUGACUCUCUGUUGCAUGUCAAGGUCGAGCGGACAGAUGGGGAGCUUGCUCCCUGAUGUUAGCGGCGGACGGGUGAGUAACACGUGGGUAACCUGCCUGUAAAACUGGGAUAACUCCGGGAAACCGGGGCUAAUACCGGAUGGUUGUUUGAACCGCAUGGUUCAAACAUAAAAGGUGGCUUCGGCUACCACUUACAGAUGGACCCGCGGCGCAUUAGCUAGUUGGUGAGGUAACGGCUCACCAAGGCAACGAUGCGUAGCCGACCUGAGAGGGUGAUCGGCCACACUGGGACUGAGACACGGCCCAGACUCCUACGGGAGGCAGCAGUAGGGAAUCUUCCGCAAUGGACGAAAGUCUGACGGAGCAACGCCGCGUGAGUGAUGAAGGUUUUCGGAUCGUAAAGCUCUGUUGUUAGGGAAGAACAAGUACCGUUCGAAUAGGGCGGUACCUUGACGGUACCUAACCAGAAAGCCACGGCUAACUACGUGCCAGCAGCCGCGGUAAUACGUAGGUGGCAAGCGUUGUCCGGAAUUAUUGGGCGUAAAGGGCUCGCAGGCGGUUUCUUAAGUCUGAUGUGAAAGCCCCCGGCUCAACCGGGGAGGGUCAUUGGAAACUGGGGAACUUGAGUGCAGAAGAGGAGAGUGGAAUUCCACGUGUAGCGGUGAAAUGCGUAGAGAUGUGGAGGAACACCAGUGGCGAAGGCGACUCUCUGGUCUGUAACUGACGCUGAGGAGCGAAAGCGUGGGGAGCGAACAGGAUUAGAUACCCUGGUAGUCCACGCCGUAAACGAUGAGUGCUAAGUGUUAGGGGGGUUUCCGCCCCUUAGUGCUGCAGCUAACGCAUUUAAGCACUCCGCCCUGGGGAGUACGGUCGCAAGACUGAAACUCAAAGGGAAUUGACGGGGGCCCGCACAAGCGGGUGGGAGCAUGUUGGUUUAAUUCGAAGCAACGCGAGAACCUUACCAAGGUUCUUGACAUUCCUUCUGACAAUUCCUUAGAGGAUAGGAACGUUCCCCUUCGGGGGGACAGAGUUGACCAGUGGUGCCAUUGAUUGUUCGUUCAGCCUUCGCUGUGUUUCCUGUGUA